rnacentral:rRNA from 1 species
GACGAACGCUGGCGGCGUGCUUAACACAUGCAAGUCGAACGAAGUGGCGAACGGGUGAGUAACGCGUAAUCAACCUGCCCUUCAGGGGGGGACAACAGUUGGAACAGACUGCUAAUACCGCAUACUGCAGUGGGGGCUUGCGUCUGAGUGGCUAGUUGGAGGGGUAACGGCCCACCAAGGCGAUGAUCAGUAGCCGGUCUGAGAGGAUGAACGGCCACAUUGGGACUGAGACCCGGCCCAGACUCCUACGGGAGGCAGCAGUGGGGAAGCUUCCGCAAGGGACGAAAGUCUGACGGAGCAACGCCGCGUGAGGGAUGACGGCAUUCGGGUUGUAAAGCUCUGUUAAUCGGGACGCGGUACCGGAAUAGAAAGCCACGGCUAACUACGUGCCAGCAGCCGCGGUAAUUA